UACAGAGGUGGCAAGCGUUGUUCGGAAUUACUGGGCGUAAAGGGCGCGUAGGCGGCCUACUAAGUCAGACGUGAAAUCCCCCGGCUUAACCUGGGAACUGCGUCUGAUACUGGUUGGCUUGAGUUUGGGAGAGGGAUGCGGAAUUCCAGGUGUAGCGGUGAAAUGCGUAGAUAUCUGGAGGAACACCGGUGGCGAAGGCGGCAUCCUGGACCAAUACUGACGCUGAGGAGCGAAAGCCAGGGGAGCAAACGGG
rnacentral:rRNA from 1 species